rnacentral:lncRNA from 1 species
AAGUGACAUAACUGUGCGCUGUGGAGCUGGUGCCAGAUUCAGUCAACGUGUUCUCUCUGUCUCACCAGCUUGGCUGUGGAAGUUGAGGCCAAUAGUAAGGGCUAAGUGAUGGAAAUCAGGAAUCUUUGUACUCCUUUCCUGGUGUCUCCACUGCUUUGAAAUGUUAGGCGACCUUGAGAGACACUUAGAUAUCUGCAUUAAGAAUGGAAGCUUCAAAUUUUUCAAAGAUGUUUUAAACAAUUUUUUAAGCAAUCUGUUUGCAAUGUAGUUGACUAAAGGCUGAAAAUAGUUUUCAGAGGUAACAAAGACUGCAAUUAAAGAAAAGCAGUCAUUUAGUGGCUAUAGCAAGACUGCUGGUUAUUUCUAGGCUGCAACCAGGCCCAGCAGCUUCCUUGAAUCUACACGGCUGUCAAAUAAGUGGUUUUGUCUGUGGAAGGUCCAGUCCAAAUGUACAUCAGUUUUCGUUUUCAUUACAAACCUUUGCCUAGACAGGUGUGCCACACCUAUCAAUUAGAAGAAAAAUUAGGUUAAACCAUCGUUAUUAAAUUAGCUAACAGCAAGUAUAAUGAACUCAUUCUCCUGUUUAGAGACUGAGCCAAGUAGGAUAGCCUUCAGCCCCUAUGCAUAAGAAGUUUGAGGCUGUUUUCUCUGGAAAGAACCUGAAGAGUGGAGGUAGGGUGGGCAUGACUGAUGGCAGAUCUCUAUAUUUUGGAGAUCCAACAAACACACACCCAGAUGGCAUCCUUUCACAAAAUGCCAACAUUGAUUCCCUCUACUUCUGGGAAGCACCUGCCAUCAAGUGGUAACAGUUUAAAUCUUUUUUUGAUUGACUUCCCUCAAGUCAAAGUACCAUGAGUUUGGAAUGUUUCAUUUGUUUUUAUAUGAUCAUAUUUGCAUUUUUAUUAUAACUAGAGAUUGUGUCAGUUUAAAUCUUUUUUUGAUUGACUUCCCUCAAGUCAAAGUACCAUGAGUUUGGAAUGUUUCAUUUGUUUUUAUAUGAUCAUAUUUGCAUUUUUAUUAUAACUAGAGAUUGUGUAUAUAUUCACUGUAUAUAAAUCUUUGCAUUGAUGAACAAAUGGGAUUAUAGUACAAAUGUUGGGUUUUUUUUGGUACAGACUGUUUGUUUUCUUUUUCCUUUUGCAAACCUCAUCUCUGCUCAUCUCUUUUCCUGCUACCCUGACCCAUACCACAAUCUUUGUUAUCAAACUAGCUUGUAUCUUUGCAUAUUUUAAUCUAUAUUCAUAUAACCCUAUAUAUACACAUACGUGUACAUAAAAUAUUACAUUCCCAUGAAUGGGUUCUUUGAGGGCCAUUUAAAAAAAAUAGAAUCAUAUUGUAUAUACUCUUCCAACAUUUAUCUUUUUCACUGGGAAAUGCCUCAGGAAGAUGUUUCCAAGUCAAGUGGUAUAGUUCUACUUCAUUUUUUUACUACUUCUGUAGUAUAGAUGGAUAUUUAUGGUGAAUGAAAAAUUUGAUUAUUUCUUGACUGGUAGGGAAGAGUGAGCUCUGGGUACAGAGAAGAUAAAACACUACAAUGAAAGGAAAGCGAGGUACAGAUGCCUAAGCCAUUUGCCAUUAAUGAUAGAACGGAUUAAUAGACGAAGAGACAUUUCUUGUCCUGAAGAAAAGAAUAAAAAUAGAUCUUUGAUACCUCAGCAGCAAUUUUCAUCACCAAAUCAAUUCCAGACCACAUGGGAUAAUUAAUUCUCUCAGCCCCCUCAUAUGGUGAGAAUUUCAAAAAUACCAUUAGUCAGAAAAUGAACUUAGGAAAACAUUUGCAAAAUCUCUUGUCAUCUCAGAAUCUUAAUACAACAAGCUACUGAAUUGUCAUUAAAACUUGCAAACUGAACCUCCUCAUCUUGUUCAUUUAGGAAGGGGCAUCAAACACAGAAAAAAGAUUGGAUAGAGUCUGGAUUGCUCAGUGUAUAAUUCCUAUGCGAGUGCUUGAGCAUUAUUUAAACCCCUUCACAUUCAUAUCUCUUAAAAUCCCUCUUAUGUUAAUCACAUUCAUCAUUUUGUUCCCAUUUUCAUUAAAAGAGAAAACAUCUUCGUACCAGUACCACCUUAAAAUCUGCUGACUGACCCAGUUUUCAAAGGCAGAAUCUCCUAGUAAAAAUAUGUCUCUUGUUACAUGUUUGACCAAUAAAAACAAAACCAGCUUGUACAAUUUAAUGUAACUGUACUGCAGACUUCCAUGGGACUGAUCACUAUUUUAUUGCCUUAGUUUAAUUCAAAGCAUUAGAAACCACGGUGAGUAUCAGAUCUUGCACCAAAGUAAUGACUGUGUCUUCUGAAUUAUCUGGAACUGACAGUGGGUUCGAAAGGGGGGCAUCCUUGGAUCUUUAAUGAAAUACCUCUUUUCUGUUCGCUGAUUUUUUAAGGUCAUGAAGAGUUGGUUGAGAAAGAAGAAAACGUGGAAUAUCUGGUUUUAGAUCAUCCCAAACUCUAAUUAUCCCAUCAAUAAAAUGUCACUUCAGGUCUGGUUAUUUGAUGAACAGGAAAGAGGUGGAAAAUUUAAAAGGCCUGAAGUAACCUUUUGGAUUGAAGAGAGACCUUCUCAAAUCAGAAGACUUUUUUUUUUUUUUUGGAUCCUGGAUGUUAGCAGUUUCCUUUAAAAAAAAAAUACUCUGGAAACCCUCUAUAAAUGAAAGAAAUGUGUAUAGUAUGCAAAUCAAAGUGUGUUGUCCUCAUUUACCCAGUGGAAUUCAAAAUAAGCCCCAACUUGUGAACAUAUUAAAGCAGAUUGAAAUGGAUAUUAGCGGGAUUUGUAAGGAGAAGCACUCCAGUCGGUCAAACAUGCUAUGCACAAGAACUUUGAUAAUGUUGUUUUACUGAUAAUUACCUGCCGGCUGUCACCUCAAAGUGGGAUUUCAUGCAGGUUGCAGUAUUUAAACAUUACAUUGGGAGCCAAGCCUGCAAAGACGCUUACACCAAUCUGGCCAUGUUCAUUUUAUUUCCCAAUUAUCUGUGACUUUCUUCAUGAAAAGCAAUGCAGUUAACUCCCUUUUAAUUGUGUUUGAUCUGUGUGGGCAAGAGAACAUCAAUACCACAUUCCCUCUUCCCAGGUCCAGAGCAGGUUCUGCCCUCUCCCUCACAGACAUCAGCAGACACCAGAAUUACUGGAAAGCAACACUUCCUGGUGGGCAUGAAUAUUCAUCUGACCUCCAAAGCUGGUGGGCUGGGGCCAAGCAAACCCCUUAGACUUAUAUUAACUAAAGGUGGUUUAAACAGGAAGGACCAUCUUAUGUGGUCUUCCCAGGGCCACUAGCUCCUGCAGAUCCUCCAGCUCGCAGAAAACUUCCUUUUCUUUGUACCCUCCCCCCACUUUUUCCCCCAUACUGAACUCCUAAUUAAAUUUAACAGUUUCAAGAGUUUAAACUGUAUACCUUUUUAAUUGUGUCCUACUUUGUAUUGGCUGAUGCACAAGUCUGAAAAUGGAUAUUACAGCUUUUUAUGAUAUAAUAUCACCCUAAUUGGUGCUUCAUAAGGCCGUGGCUGAAUUCUUUUCAAUUGAGCCCUAACAUACAGUAACUGUUUCUCUCUGCAAAUGCUGGAAAGCCAUUCAUAAGAGAGGACUGGUACUGCACAAUUCCAAAGUACCUUAAUGUGUCAAAAAUGUUUUGUGAAGAAAGCUACACUGUAAAUGCAAUCACCUACAUUGGUGUUCCCAUUGUUAACUGGAAGUGAAAGUAUUGCUAAUUGUCCUGCGUUUUAGCUGGGUUUUUAAAGCAUUAUGUAGUAAGUACACCGGAGGGUCAAUUUGUGAAGUGAAAUACUUAGCAUGCAAAGCGUAAUACAAGAUGCUGUGUAAUACUUGACCUCUCAGCAUAAUAAAUGUAGCAGUGAAACGCUGUGCAUUCAGUAUUCACUGAAUAGAGCCUUCGCAGUGGAACAAAACCAGAAAAUGUUCUCUUCAUUCCUUUUUUUUUUUUUCACUAAGCGAAAAUUAUUCUUUAUAAUGGCCAUUGCAGCAAUUAGCUGGCAUUUGGUAGAAUAAAUGUGCAGAAAUAGCAAUUUCUUAUUUUAAAUGAGAUUUUGUAUGGAGCCUGCAAAUUACUUGAGGUAUAUGAAUAAUUGUGCCUUAGCUUUAUGCUACAGAAUAGGGUGUGGGUGGGUAUAAAGAUUUCCUAUUUGCAGUUAAAUGUUUAGACAUUUUAUUAUUUUAAUUUCACUCACAGACUGCCUGGACUGACCCUGCCUUCCCAUUGAUCAUUUCAUGUGCGCCUGGAAGCAAGUGUGCAGAUGGCGGGAGACUCCCAAUUAGUGCACCAUGUUUUUUAUGAAUGUGACAUGUACGUGCAAUCAGGUCUCCCCUGGAGGCAAUGGCAGUGUAGAGACUUUGAGUUUCUAAAUCAAUACAAGUUAAUAAUCUGCAUGGAAUGGAUGUUUAUCUAUAUUCUCUGUGGUCAAAUGCAAUUGGAAACUUCAUUACAUUUUUACCCAAAGUUUUUCCCCUUAUUGAAAUGCAUUCUUCCAGGCAUUCAUGAUUCAUCUAAUUAGCCUUAAAUAGGGUAUUUUUUUUCUUCUCUCAAAGUGAUUCAGUUAAUUAUGUCCAUCUAUUCAUAAUUAUAAGGUGGAUGAGUCGGAUAAAACUGAAAUUAUGAAAUCUGCAGAGAUUCAACGAGGUUUAGAACGUACAAUGUAAAAAAGGAUUGAGUAAAUCAGAGCAUUGUAAUACUUUGUUUUAAUCCCCCUCAGCCCACCCCACCCCAACUGCUUUCUCACAGGGUUUUAUAUACUUACUUUUUUCACUUGUCAUUUGUAAUCCAACAACUUGCUAAAAUUGAUUUGAGGUAAGCUCAUAGUGAUUGAUAAUACUCACAAUAAAGCAAACACCACAAAUACUAAUAACACUUGACUAAUGUGUCCAAAACUAUUUUUAAUUGAAAAAAACUUUAAAAUAACAUAUCGUCAUUUAAAGGUUAACUCUUCAAAUAGUAAAGGGAGAAAUUUCCUUUCACCCACUGACCACCAUCCAAGUUCUCCUACUGAUGUACCUACUUUAGCAGCUCUCUUAUAUGUUCUUAUUCCACCUUUUCAAGUCCUUUCUUAUUACAGUCCUUCCCAUAUUUUACUUGCAUAUUCUAUUCAUAAGUACGCUACACAAUAUUGUAAGUUUCAAGCAUUUUAUUUUAUUUUCUCCAGACAACUUUUCUAGCUCAAUAACUUUUUUUAGUCUUUAAAAUUAUGUUUUUGGAUUUUUUUUAGUUAAAUGAAAGUACAAUCUACCUUAAUUUUUAUUUUAGCUAAGACCGAAGCACAUUCAACUUUUUACUCAAACCAUUGAGUGAUGCCAAAAAUUCCUCUGCCAAAUGCUAUAAUGAAGGCAACCCAUUAUCAAAUGACAUAGCUCAUGUGUUAAAUCCAACCUGUGAUACUACAAAAUUGGAAAUAGCCCCAAUUAGUGAUUGUUCAUCUAAUCUUGGUAAAUGAUGUUCUCACAUAGCAAGCAGAUACUAAUUCUCUAUCUUUCUACAAGCAAGGCUUGUUGGCUACACUCCCUCACAACAAGCCCCGGAGAGGGUGCUGGGUCAUUGUAUUACUGUCUUUGCCCAGUGGUCAUACUCAAGAGUUUUAACAAAUUGCAUAGCCACUGGGCAGAAAGAAUUGUGUGAUUUCUGUCUUAUUUGAACUCCUCAUGAUUUUUUACCAAUGAGACAAAUAAUAAGUCACAAUCAGAGUUUUAUCAUUUGAAAUGAUUUGUAGUAAACCCAGGUAGCUGACUGCAAAAAUAAAUUUCUUUUUAAAUUGGAUAUAUAAAAUGAAAGAAUGUGAGUUACGUUAUUUUUCUUUUAAUUAUUCCUUUCUGAAAUAUCCCCCUUAAGACUUUCCAAAGGAGAAGAGUGGUGGACUGAGGGUAAAAUUUCAUUCAUAUCUUUGUGGGGUAUAUGCAAGUGUUAUAUAAAUAACCAUAUAAGUAAAGAUACUGGUAUGUUAGAACAGAGACAGAAAAAUGUCAACUGUGUUUUCCCAUUACUGUUAUUAAAUAAUAAUGCUCUGGUCAUGGUGAUCUCCUGGAUAAUUCUUUUCACAAGUUAUUUCCUGUCAUUGUGAUCAACUAGCCAAUCUUCACUACAUCCUGAGAGGCAAACAUUAAAAAAAGAAAGGGAAAAAAAAGGAUGAUGGCACAAAUAGUGAAAAUCUGUUGUAUGUUAAACUGUUAUUCUCAGCCUCAUUUUAUAUCAUUGCUGUAAAAUCUAAUAAUAUUUUUACCUGGAACACUUCCCAAGGUAUAAAUAAACUUUCUCUUUCAAAUAUUGAGUAGAAAACCUAUGUGGAGGGUGCUUCCUGUUUUAAGUGUCUACAUUAAGAAAGAAACUUUCCUUUCCUGUUUCCCAAGGAAACUCCAAUGAAGGGACCUCACUGUACUUCACUUAGAUGACUCUCUGUUUUUCAUAUCUUUUCUCCUACAUCCUGUCUUCAUGGGGGGUGAGCCUUUUCUUUGGGGAUCUCCUCACUCCCACAUCUGGUCAUCCAAUUCCCUGUCUUCGUUGAAGGCUCAGGUCCAGUGUUCCCUCCUCCAUGAAGCUUUCUCUGCUGCACUAAGAAGGAAUCCCUCCCUUUUCUGAACCACGAAAGCAAUUUAUCUCUCUGCCUCUCAGAUGUUUACAUACAUUCCAUUACCCUUGCUUGUAGGCUUCUUGGGCAUAGGAUCUAGUCUUGAACUGAUGCUAGUGCCUUACACAUUGUGAGUGUACAAUAAAUACCUCUUAAGUGAAUAAAUUUUAUCAGCAAGACUCUGGUCAUUGAUUCAUCAUUAUGU